UGCUGUUCGCCUUGCGGAGGUUCAACCGGAAAAGGAGUCAAAGGCAUGGCAUUGCCUGAUUUUUCUAUGCGCCAGCUUCUGGAAGCUGGUGUUCACUUCGGCCACCAGACCCAUCGCUGGAACCCGAAGAUG
rnacentral:sRNA from 2 species